UACGAAGGGGGCUAGCGUUGCUCGGAAUCACUGGGCGUAAAGGGUGCGUAGGCGGGUCUUUAAGUCAGGGGUGAAAUCCUGGAGCUCAACUCCAGAACUGCCUUUGAUACUGAGGAUCUUGAGUUCGGGAGAGGUGAGUGGAACUGCGAGUGUAGAGGUGAAAUUCGUAGAUAUUCGCAAGAACACCAGUGGCGAAGGCGGCUCACUGGCCCGAUACUGACGCUGAGGCACGUAAGCGUGGGGAGCAAACAGG
rnacentral:rRNA from 1 species